CAGACUCCUACGGGAGGCAGCAGUGGGGAAUCUUGCACGAAUUGGACGAAGUCUGGACUGCAGCAACGCCGCGUGGGGAUGGAAAGCUUUUUACGGGACGUUGGUAAACCCCUUUACGACCCGGUAAGAAUGCCGCAAGGGUUUGACGGUACGGGUAUAAGAAGCCCCGGCUAACUACGUGCCAGCAGCCGCGGUAAUAC
rnacentral:rRNA from 1 species